rnacentral:rRNA from 1 species
GAUUCUGGCUCAGGAUGAACGCUGGCGGCGUGCCUAAUACAUGCAAGUCGAACGAGAGACCCCAGCUUGCUGGCGAUCGAGUGGCGAACGGGUGAGUAACACAUAAACAAUCUACCCUGAAGACUGGGAUAACGUAGGGAAACCCACGCUAAUACCGGAUAGGCAGAGGGAGGGCAUCCUUCCACUGUUGAAGUUGGGCUACAACACUGCAGGAUGAGUUUAUGUCGCAUUAGUCAGUUGGUGAGGUAACGGCCCACCAAGACGAUGAUGCGUAGCCGGUCUGAGAGGAUGAACGGCCACAUUGGGACUGAGACACGGCCCAGACUCCUACGGGAGGCAGCAGUAGGGAAUUUUCGGCAAUGGGGGAAACCCUGACCGAGCAACGCCGCGUGAACGAAUGAAGGUUUUUGGAUCGCAGAGUUCUGUUGUAAGGGAAGAAAGCUAGAGAUAGGGAAUGAUCUUUAGUUGACGGUACCUUGCCAGAAAGCCACGGCUAACUACGUGCCAGCCGCAGC